rnacentral:tRNA from 2 species
UUGGGUGUAUCUCAGUUGGUAGAGCGCCCGGUUUGGGACCCGGGGGGCCGCAGCUUCGAGACCUGUCAUCCUAA